GUGCUCCCUUUCGCAACACAUACAUUAAAACUGGAACAAUACAGAGAAGAUUAACAUGGCCCCUGUGCAAGGAUGACAUGCAAAUUUGUGAAGCGUUCCAUAUUUUU